rnacentral:misc_RNA from 1 species
AUGAAAAUGAAGAAGCAGAUAAAAGUGAAGAUGAAAAUGAAAAAGCAUAUAAAAGUGGAUUUGAAGAUUGCAAAUUUCUUGAUUUUAGUAAUUGCGUCCAAUUGAAUAAGAAAGUAAUGGAGGAUGUUUUUGAAGCGCAUCUGUUGGGCGAGAAAGUUAGAUUAUCUAUGGCAGGAGGUGGAGUGCCAGAAAGGAUGAGAUAUAAGAAUAAAGGGUCCUCGCUUUCAUUCGAACUUGACCUUUGUCACUUAAUUGCCUUCUCUUUCUGCGUUGUUGUUGAUACCACACAUCGUCAUCAUUUCGAUGGAAGAAUUGAAUGUAGAGUGGAUUUCAUAUAUGAAUCUGAAAAUAGGCAGGGACUUAAUAAAUUCUUCUUACUUUGCGAUCGGUAUUUUAAGAAUUGGAAUGGCUAUUAUGAAGGUCCGCAUCUUUCGGACUCAUCACACGUGCUUCUUUCAUUCAAUGAAUUGAGGACACGUUUUGAUGAAGAGUGUUUCGUUAAGGCCUCAAUUUGCUUCACCACUGGCGAUGAGGAGGAAAUUAUGGAGUGUGGGGUCCAUCCUAU